AGGGACAAACAACUCCCCAAGGAGAGGUGGACCAUGGACCAAGACCCCAGGAGUCUCCCCCUGGCCUUUGCACUAGCUUUUCCUCAUGGGGCAGCAUGGCAUGCACACCUGCAGUGGGCCCUGUUGGAGGCUGCCAUCCCCUCAGCUGCACUCCCUGCAAAGCAACAAACACUGCUUACUGGGAACCCCUGUGUCUGACUGAGGAAAGCUCUUCUGAUCUUAGGAGCACACUCAGCUGGCACCCAGGGAAAGCUGGGAGAGCCAGGGAGUCAAUGCCCCUGAAGCAGCGUGAACCAGUGAUGGAGGAGAGUGAACCCUGACCUCCUUCAAGGAAAAACUCCGCCUCCAUGCAGGCCAUAUGAGAAGUCUGACUUCAUGCCCAGCUCCAGAAUGUUCCAAAGACAUGGCCACAUGCUACAAGCCCAGGAAGAAGGCCACCACAGAGGCCAGCAAAGCCAAGAGCAUCUCAGGAAAAUGGGGCAAGAGCUCCUGGAUUAAGCCAGCACUGAAGCCCGCCCUAUCUCUGGACUUCCAAUCACAUAGCUCAAUAAACGUCUUUCUUCUUUAAG
rnacentral:lncRNA from 1 species